CCUACGGGAGGCAGCAGUGAGGAAUAUUGGGCAAUGGACGAGAGUCUGAACCAGCCAAGUAGCGUGAAGGAUGACUGCCCUAUGGGUUGUAAACUUCUUUUAUAUGGGAAUAAAAUGUUCCACGUGUGGGAUUUUGUAUGUACCAUAUGAAUAAGGAUCGGCUAACUCCGUGCCAGCAGCCGCGGUAAUACGGAGGAUCCGAGCGUUAUCCGGAUUUAUUGGGUUUAAGGGGAGCGUAGGUGGAUUGUUAAGUCAGUUGUGAAAGUUUGCGGCUCAACCGUAAAAUUGCAGUUGAAACUGGCAGUCUUGAGUACAGGAGAGGUGGGCGGAAUUCGUGGUGUAGCGGUGAAAUGCGUAGAUAUCACGAAGAACUCCGAUUGCGAAGGCAGUUCACUGGACUGCAACUGACACUGAGGCUCGAAAGUGUGGGUAUCAAACAGGAUUAGAUACCCCAGUAGUC
rnacentral:rRNA from 1 species